rnacentral:lncRNA from 1 species
ACACAGGGAAGCUUAGGAGUUUGUCCUCUCCAUAGGCUUUGUCAGAGAUGUAUUAUUGUGCUUGAUGGACUUGAACUGAUAGGGUUGCUUCUCUGUUCCUUUGGCUUAGUCAUGAACAAACAAAAACUAAUUUUGGCCACUCAGCAUUCUGUGAACCAUACAAUCCUCUGCACAUGAUACUUCUGCAAGAGUAAGCUUUAAAAACGAAACUCUUGUUCUCCGUAGGCACUAGAGAUGCAAAUUUGGUGGGACAGAAUCUGAAGGCUAUCUGUCUUCUCAGUUACCCUUUCUGCAACGUAAUAUUUCCUUUGCACUUUGAAGUGGUUGUAUUUAAGCUCAGUUGUGUACGUACAAAAUGAUCUCUGACGAUGAAAGGUAAUAUGAAACGAAAGAAAGACUUUGCAACAUGAAAGGCAUGAAAGAGGAAGAGAAGUAAAGGAGAUGCACUGUUGUUCACCAUUAAUCAUUUCAGCUGGCUACACCUACGUUAAAAAUGCAUGUGCAUGUAUUUACACAACACACAAACAUGCAACGAUGCAAACAGUACACUGCAUGUUUGUUAUGUACAUUGAGUGCAUGUGCGGCUACAACAGAAGUAAAUGAGAAUGAUGCUGAAACAUGAGGUGUAAGCUAAAGGGAACGUUUGAACGGCUGGAUGUUCAGCGAUGUAUGGAGCUGACAUUUGCAAAUCUAAGUUAUAUAUUCUGUUUUCAUUUCUCGACCCUGUCAGCUAAGCAAUCCUUCCACGAGACAGGAAGAAGGAAGAAGGGACAUAAUCCUGAGAGAGCCGAAUGAAUAUAUAUGUUUGCAAUUUCCCUUGAAAUCUGCACAGAAAAUAGGAGUCAACCAUAAAUUCAAAUAAAUCACUGCAAAGACUCACUGACAGUUGCAAGCUGCUUCACCGUACAUAUUCAUUCGUGGCCCUGAGCCAAGCAG